rnacentral:rRNA from 1 species
AUUGAACGCUAGCGGCAUGCUUAACACAUGCAAGUCGAACGGCAGCGCGGGGAGCUUGCUCCCUGGCGGCGAGUGGCGGACGGGUGAGUAAUGCGUAGGAAUCUACCUUAUAGUGGGGGAUAACUCGGGGAAACUCGGGCUAAUACCGCAUAAUCUCUAAGGAGCAAAGCGGGGGACUUUCGGGCCUCGUGCUAUAAGAUGAGCCUACGUCGGAUUAGCUAGUUGGUGGGGUAAAGGCCUACCAAGGCAACGAUCCGUGGCUGGUCUGAGAGGACGAUCAGCCACACUGGGACUGAGACACGGCCCAGACUCCUACGGGAGGCAGCAGUGGGGAAUAUUGGACAAUGGGGGGAACCCUGAUCCAGCAAUGCCGCGUGUGUGAAGAAGGCCUUCGGGUUGUAAAGCACUUUCAGUGGAGAAGAAAGACCUAAGAAUAAUACUCUUAGGAGGUGACGUUAUCCACAGAAGAAGCACUGGCUAACUCUGUGCCAGCCGCCGCUGUAAUAC